GUCCUCCUUCAGAAACUUCAACUCCCAGAGGCAGAGGCGGCGGUUGCACGCCUGGUUACGGCACUUACGGCUUACGUCAUCGAGCUGCGCUAACUCCAAACCGGAGAAGGAGGAGGCGCUUGCAUCAUCUAUUCCUCUGUAAGCUCGGGUCUAGAGGCGAAGAUAGCCCCACUGAAAGAAGCUGAAAUGCGAAACAGACGAAGUGCUCUUAAUUUUUCGAUCUCGUGUUACCCAAAUUAUUUCUAAUUCAUGUAGGAAAAAGUUACCAAUAAUAUCACAUGGUGGUCUUUCGUAAGUGAAAAGUUUUAAACUGAAAUUUUUAAUAAAAAGUCAUUGAAAUUGGGAA